GAUGAACGCUGGCGGCGUGCCUAAUACAUGCAAGUCGAGCGAACAGACGAGGAGCUUGCUCCUCUGACGUUAGCGGCGGACGGGUGAGUAACACGUGGAUAACCUACCUAUAAGACUGGGAUAACUUCGGGAAACCGGAGCUAAUACCGGAUAACAUGUUGAACCGCAUGGUUCAACAGUGAAAGACGGUCUUGCUGUCACUUAUAGAUGGAUCCGCGCCGCAUUAGCUAGUUGGUAAGGUAACGGCUUACCAAGGCAACGAUGCGUAGCCGACCUGGGAGGGUGAUCGGCGACACUGGAACUGAGACACGGUCCAGAGUCCGACGGGAGGCAGCAGUAGGGAAUCUUCCGCAAUGGGCGAAAGCCUGACGGAGCAACGCCGCGUGAGUGAAGAAGGUCUUCGGAUCGUAAAACUCUGUUAUUAGGGAAGAACAAAUGUGUAAGUAACUAUGCACGUCUUGACGGUACCUAAUCAGAAAGCCACGGCUAACUACGUG
rnacentral:rRNA from 1 species